UACAGAGGUCCCAAGCGUUGUUCGGAUUCACUGGGCGUAAAGGGUGCGUAGGUGGUCAGGUAAGUCGGAUGUGAAAUCUCCGAGCUCAACUCGGAAACUGCAUUGGAAACUACCUGGCUCGAGGGUUGGAGGGGGGACUGGAAUGCUUGGUGUAGCAGUGAAAUGCGUAGAUAUCAAGCGGAACACCAGUGGCGAUGGCGAGUCCCUGGACAACUCCUGACACUGAUGCACGAAAGCUAGGGGAGCAAACAGG
rnacentral:rRNA from 1 species